CUGUAACCUGUACACUGCAGCUUUCACCUGCCCUGAUUGCCUGUGGAUUCCACUUCUCUUUCUCCUCGAUCCUCUGCCGAACCGGAAGGAAGGAUUAUGGAGGAGGGAUCAUGGAGGAGCUAUAGCCGAGGAUGCAGAGAGCAGCUUUCCCGGGAAGCCGUGCAGCUGAAGGAGUCGCUAACUCCGCCCAAACAGCUGACGGAUUCAUGAGAAGCACCUGAAGUACUCCGAUCAUUUACUGCAGUAAAAGUGAAAAGCCCUGCAUACUGUCAGCUUAACACUUUAGGCAUGUGAACAAGUGUGUGUGUGUGUGUGUGUGUGUGUGUGAAUCAGAAUCAGAAUAUCUUUAUUGUCAAUGUAACAUACAACGAAAUGAAGUGCAGUCCUCGUCAGUGCCAAACAUCUAUGAGAGCCUGCUCUCCAAACCAGUCUCCUUUAGCGAGUGUCUUCACGAUCACCUGCUCGUCCCCAGGCACCCCUAGCAUUCGCCUACGCUGCCUUUGCCACAGGCCGGCCGUGCAUGCAUCAGGAAAACGUUCCAGGGGCGGGAGUGAGACGGGACACACAGGAAGAAACUCAUACGAAGAGUCCAGGGACAGUCGCUGAGGCAGGCACACAGAGGAGAGAAAAGGAGCUCCACAGUUUAAGCGGCAUCGAGGAAGACUUAUGGACGAAUGGGAGUUUAUUAAUCAGAACAGAGAACUACACUGUGCAGG